AAGACUAUAUUUUCAGCCAUUAUUUGUAUAGUGUGUUAUUAGAGGAGUAUAUCUGAACGUGUAGAACGCUGGUGAGCCACGAGAAGGAGAUGUUUGUGUUUUCUCAUGGGUGUAAUAGCAGCAUUUGGUCUUGCGUUAUUCUAACUGCCGUUUGCUGUUGGUGACCGUUCUUCUCUAGAGAAUGCAGUCUGAGUAGU
rfam:Pan troglodytes isolate Yerkes chimp pedigree #C0471 (Clint) chromosome 17, whole genome shotgun sequence.